AACGAACGCUGGCGGCAUGCCUAACAUAUGCAAGUCGAACGCGGCCUUCGGGUCUAGUUGCGCACGGGUGCUUACCGCGUGGGAACCUGCCCUUAGGUUCGGAAUAACUCCCCGGAAGGGGUGCUAAUACCGCAUAAUGUCUUCCGACCAAAGAUCUAUCGCCUUUGGAUGGGCCCGCGUUGGAUUAGCUAGUUGGUAGAGUAAAAGCCUAUCAAGGCGACGAUCCAUAGCUGGUCUGAGAGGCUGAUCAGCCACACUAGGCGUGAGACACGGACGAGACUCGUACGGAAGGCAGCAGUGGGGAAUAUUGGACAAUGGGCGAGAGACUGAUCCAGCAGGGCCGUGUGAGUGAUGAAGGAGUUAGGGUUGUAUAUGACUGUUGACCGGGCUGAUAAUGACAGUACCGGGCGAAUAAGCGCCGGCUAACUCCGUG
rnacentral:rRNA from 1 species